UCGCCUCUUGACAACUAAUAAGAGGUCCAGCCUGCCCAGUGACUCUGUUCAACGGCCGCGGUAUCCUAACCGUGCGAAGGUAGCGUAAUCACUUGUUCUUUAAAUGAGGACUAGUAUGAACGGCACCACGAGGGUUAAGCUGUCUCCCUUUUCUAAUCAGUGAAACUAAUCCCCCCGUGAAGAAGCGGGGAUGAAUCUAUAAGACGAGAAGACCCUAUGGAGCUUCAAACACACAACAAAUGCCCCGCCUCUUGUUAAUCUCCGGAAAACCACCCACCCGGGCACUUUGAUUUCAAGUUUUAGGUUGGGGUGACCGCGGAGUAAAAAAAAUCCUCCACAGCGAACGGGACCUAACCCCUAAGCUCAGGGCCACAACCCCAGGAAUCAAUAAAUUGACACCCAUUGACCCAAUAUUUUUGACCAACGAACCAA
rnacentral:rRNA from 1 species